CAAUAGCGUAUAUUAAAGUUGUUGCGGUUAAAAAGCUCGUAGUUGGAUUUCGGCGGACAGGGGGCGGUUCGAUAUUUGUCGCUACUGCCCCAUUUGUCCGUGUUUUUGGCGGAGGUUUCAGGGUGCUCUUCACCGAGUGUCAUGGGAUGCCGUCAGGUUUACUUUGAAAAAAUUAGAGUGCUCAAAGCAGGCUUUACACGCUUGAAUAUUCGUGCAUGGAAUAAUGGAAUAGGACGUCGUUUCUAUUUUGUUGGUUUUCGGAAAUCGACGUAAUGAUUAACAGGGACAGUCGGGGGCAUUAGUAUUCAGACGACAGAGGUGAAAUUCUUGGACCGUCUGAAGACUAACUACUGCGAAAGCAUUUGCCAAGAAUGUUUUCAUUAA
rnacentral:rRNA from 1 species